rnacentral:rRNA from 1 species
UGCAAGUCGAGCGGAACGAGUUAACUGAACCUUCGGGGAACGUUAACGGCGUCGAGCGGCGGACGGGUGAGUAAUGCCUGGGAAAUUGCCCUGAUGUGGGGGAUAACCAUUGGAAACGAUGGCUAAUACCGCAUAAUAGCUUCGGCUCAAAGAGGGGGACCUUCGGGCCUCUCGCGUCAGGAUAUGCCCAGGUGGGAUUAGCUAGUUGGUGAGGUAAGGGCUCACCAAGGCGACGAUCCCUAGCUGGUCUGAGAGGAUGAUCAGCCACACUGGAACUGAGACACGGUCCAGACUCCUACGGGAGGCAGCAGUGGGGAAUAUUGCACAAUGGGCGCAAGCCUGAUGCAGCCAUGCCGCGUGUAUGAAGAAGGCCUUCGGGUUGUAAAGUACUUUCAGCAGUGAGGAAGGUUCAUGCGUUAAUAGCGUAUGGAUUUGACGUUAGCUGCAGAAGAAGCACCGGCUAACUCCGUGCCAGCAGCCGCGGUAAUACGGAGGGUGCGAGCGUUAAUCGGAAUUACUGGGCGUAAAGCGCAUGCAGGUGGUUUGUUAAGUCAGAUGUGAAAGCCCGGGGCUCAACCUCGGAAUUGCAUUUGAAACUGGCAGACUAGAGUACUGUAGAGGGGGGUAGAAUUUCAGGUGUAGCGGUGAAAUGCGUAGAGAUCUGAA